rnacentral:snRNA from 1 species
GGAUGUGGGGGUGAUCUGACUGUCCCCCCCCCAUUGAUCUCCAAGGUUAAUUCAGGUGAUCUGGCUGGCCAGGCAGGGCCCCUGGUCCCUCCCUUACUGCUCCAUCUGUGUCCCUCCAGAAGCUGCAAAUUUGGUUGAAAGGGACGACCUUCCCCGAAGAGACGGACUGGUCUUGAGUCGGGGGUACACAAGCAGCUGCGCUCCCUUACUAGAGCCUCCAAACUCGCAAGGUCCAUUUGUAGGAGAAUGUAGGCUAGUCAACCCUCCAAGACUACAGACACAUCCAGAUGAAGUGUUUCACAUGGCAGUCUGCCUUUAU